rnacentral:rRNA from 1 species
AGAGUUUGAUCCUGGCUCAGGACGAACGCUGGCGGCGUGCUUAACACAUGCAAGUCGAACGCUGAAACGGAGCUUGCUUUGGUGGAUGAGUGGCGAACGGGUGAGUAACACGUGGGUGAUCUGCCCUACACUUUGGGAUAAGCCUGGGAAACUGGGUCUAAUACCGAAUAUUCACACCACCGUAGGGGUGGUGUGGAAAGCUUUAUGCGGUGUGGGAUGAGCCUGCGGCCUAUCAGCUUGUUGGUGGGGUAAUGGCCUACCAAGGCGUCGACGGGUAGCCGGCCUGAGAGGGUGUACGGCCACAUUGGGACUGAGACACGGCCCAGACUCCUACGGGAGGCAGCAGUGGACUCCUACGGGAGGCUGCAGUCGAGAAUCAUCCACAAUGGGCGAAAGCCUGAUGAUGCGACGCCGCGUGGAGGAUGAAGGCCUUCGGGUUGUAAACUCCUGUCAGAGAGUUAGAAAAGCCCGUUCGCUAAUACCGGUCGGGUUUGACGCGGUAAUACGUAGGGUGCGAGCGUUGUCCGGAAUUACUGGGCGUAAAGAGCUCGUAGGUGGUUUGUCGCGUCGUCUGUGAAAUCCCGGGGCUUAACUUCGGGCGUGCAGGCGAUACGGGCAUAACUUGAGUGCUGUAGGGGAGACUGGAAUUCCUGGUGUAGCGGUGAAAUGCGCAGAUAUCAGGAGGAACACCAAUGGCGAAGGCAGGUCUCUGGGCAGUAACUGACGCUGAGGAGCGAAAGCAUGGGUAGCGAACAGGAUUAGAUACCCUGGUAGUCCAUGCCGUAAACGGUGGGCGCUAGGUGUAGGGGUCUUCCACGACUUCUGUGCCGCAGCUAACGCAUUAAGCGCCCCGCCUGGGGAGUACGGCCGCAAGGCUAAAACUCAAAGGAAUUGACGG